rnacentral:rRNA from 1 species
UACGUAGGGGGCUAGCGUUGUCCGGAAUCAUUGGGCGUAAAGCGCGUGUAGGCGGUCCGGUAAGUCUGCUGUGAAAGUCGGGGGCUCAACCCUCGAAUGCCGGUGGAUACUGUCGGGCUAGAGUGCGGAAGAGGCGAGUGGAAUUCCUGGUGUAGCGGUGAAAUGCGCAGAUAUCAGGAGGAACACCAAUUGCGAAGGCAGCUCGCUGGGACGUAACUGACGCUGAGACGCGAAAGCGUGGGGAGCAAACAGG